rnacentral:sRNA from 1 species
AAAGAGGGGUCCGUGACCUCCGUGAACCUGACUAAGCUAGAGGGUGGCGUGGCCUAUAACGUGAUACCUGCCACCAUGAGCGCCAGCUUUGACUUCCGUGUGGCACCGGAUAUGGACUUCAAGGUGCCACCUCCACCUGGGUUUGGAGGAGGGAUCCUGGGUCCUCAAUCUUGUCCUAGAGGCCUCUGGAAAGCCUGAAGGAUCAGCUCGUCUCCCUUCUCUUAGGCUUUUGAGGAGCAGCUGCAGAGCUGGUGCCAGGCAGCUGGCGAGGGGGUCACCUUAGAGUUUGCUCAGAAGUGGAUGCACCCCCAAGUGACACCUACUGAUGACUCAAACCCCUGGUGGGCAGCUUUUAGCCGGGUCUGCAAGGACAUGAAGCUUACUCUGGAGCCUGAGAUCAUGCCUGCUGCCACUGACAACCGCUAUAUCCGCGCGGUGGGGAUCCCAGCUCUAGGCUUCUCACCCAUGAACCGCACACCUGUGCUGCUGCACGACCACGAUGAACGGCUGCAUGAGGCUGUGUUCCUCCGUGGGGUGGACAUAUAUACACGCCUGCUGCCUGCCCUUGCCAGUGUGCCUGCCCUGCCCAGUGAGAGCUGAGCCCCGGAACUCCUCAACCUUUGCCCCUGGGGCUUCCAUCCCAACCAGUGCCAAGGACCUCCUCUUCCCCCUUCCAAAUAAUAAA